GACGAACGCUGGCGGCGUGCUUAACACAUGCAAGUCGAACGAAGUGGCGAACGGGUGAGUAACGCGUAAUCAACCUGCCCUUCAGGGGGGGACAACAGUGGGAAACGACUGCUAAUACCGCAUAUUGAAGGAGGGGAUGGCGUUGGAUUAGCUAGUUGGGGGGGUAACGGCCAACCAAGGCGAUGAUCAGAAGCCGGUCUGGAGGGGUGGACGGCCACAUUGGGACUGGGGCACCGCCCAGACUCCUACGGGAGGCAGCCGUGGGGAAUCAUCCGCAAUGGACGAAAGGCUGAAGGAGCAACGCCGCGUGAGUGAUGACGGCCCUCGGGUUGUAAAGCUCUGUUAAUCGGGACGCGUUACCGGAAUAGAAAGCCCCGGCUAACUACGUGCCAGCAGCCGCGGUAAUUC
rnacentral:rRNA from 1 species